rnacentral:rRNA from 1 species
AUUGAGCGCUGGCGGCAGGCCUAACACAUGCAAGUCGAACGGUAACAGAAAGCAGCUUGCUGCUUUGCUGACGAGUGGCGGACGGGUGAGUAAUGUCUGGGAAACUGCCUGAUGGAGGGGGAUAACUACUGGAAACGGUAGCCAAUACCGCAUAACGUCGCAAGACCAAAGAGGGGGACCUUCGGGCCUCUUGCCAUCGGAUGUGCCCAGAUGGGAUUAGCUAGUAGGUGGGGUAACGGCUCACCUAGGCGACGAUCCCUAGCUGGUCUGAGAGGAUGACCAGCCACACUGGAACUGAGACACGGUCCAGACUCCUACGGGAGGCAGCAGUGGGGAAUAUUGCACAAUGGGCGCAAGCCUGAUGCAGCCAUGCCGCGUGUAUGAAGAAGGCCUUCGGGUUGUAAAGUACUUUCAGCGGGGAGGAAGGGAGUAAAGUUAAUACCUUUGCUCAUUGACGUUACCCGCAGAAGAAGCACCGGCUAACUCCGUG